GGGGGUUUAGCUCAGUGGUAGAGCACUUGCCUCGCAAGCACAAGGCCCUGGGUUCGGUCCCCAGCUCUG
rnacentral:tRNA from 1 species